rnacentral:rRNA from 2 species
UCGAACGAACUCUGGUAUUGAUUGGUGCUUGCAUUCAUGAUUUACAUUUGAGUUGAGUGGCGAACUUGGUGAGUAACACGUGGGAAACCUGCCCAGAAGCGGGGGAUAACACCUGGAAACAGAUGCUAAUACCGCAUAACAACUUGGACCGCAUGGUCCGAGUUUGAAAGAUGGCUUCGGCUAUCACUUUUGGAUGGUCCCGCGGCGUAUUAGCUAGAUGGUGGGGUAACGGCUCACCAUGGCAAUGAUACGUAGCCGACCUGAGAGGGUAAUCGGCCACAUUGGGACUGAGACACGGCCCAAACUCCUACGGGAGGCAGCAGUAGGGAAUCUUCCACAAUGGACGAAAGUCUGAUGGAGCAACGCCGCGUGAGUGAAGAAGGGUUUCGGCUCGUAAAACUCUGUUGUUAAAGAAGAACAUAUCUGAGAGUAACUGUUCAGGUAUUGACGGUAUUUAACCAGAAAGCCACGGCUAACUACGUGCCAGCAGCCGCGGUAAUACGUAGGUGGCAAGCGUUGUCCGGAUUUAUUGGGCGUAAAGCGAGCGCAGGCGGUUUUUUAAGUCUGAUGUGAAAGCCUUCGGCUCAACCGAAGAAGUGCAUCGGAAACUGGGAAACUUGAGUGCAGAAGAGGACAGUGGAACUCCAUGUGUAGCGGUGAAAUGCGUAGAUAUAUGGAA